AACGAACGCUGGCGGCAUGCCUAACACAUGCAAGUCGAACGAGAUCCUUCGGGGUCUAGUGGCGCACGGGUGCGUAACGCGUGGGAAUCUGCCCAAAGGUACGGAAUAACUCUCCGAAAGGGGUGCUAAUACCGUAUGAUGUCGCAAGACCAAAGAUUUAUCGCCUUUGGAUGAGCCCGCGUUGGAUUAGCUAGUUGGUGGGGUAAAGGCCGUACCAAGGCGACGAUCCAUAGCNGGUCUGAGAGGAUGAUCAGCCACACUGGGACUGAGACACGGCCCAGACUCCUACGGGAGGCAGCAGUGGGGAAUAUUGGACAAUGGGCGAAAGCCUGAUCCAGCAAUGCCGCGUGAGUGAUGAAGGCCUUAGGGUUGUAAAGCUC
rnacentral:rRNA from 1 species